rnacentral:rRNA from 1 species
CGGGACUGGUGAGUAACGCGUGAGGAACCUGCCUUUCGGAGGGGGACAACAGUUGGAAACGACUGCUAAUACCGCAUGACGUAUCGGGAUCGCAUGGUCUUGAUACCAAAGAUUUUAUCGCCGAAAGAUGGCCUCGCGUCUGAUUAGCUAGUUGGUGGGGUAACGGCCUACCAAGGCGACGAUCAGUAGCCGGACUGAGAGGUUGGCCGGCCACAUUGGGACUGAGAUACGGCCCAGACUCCUACGGAAGGCAGCAG